GAUGAACGCUGGCGGCGUGCCUAAUACAUGCAAGUCGAGCGAACGGACGAGAAGCUUGCUUCUCUGAUGUUAGCGGCGGACGGGUGAGUAACACGUGGAUAACCUACCUAUAAGACUGGGAUAACUUCGGGAAACCGGAGCUAAUACCGGAUAAUAUUUUGAACCGCAUGGUUCAAAAGUAAAAGACGGUCUUGCUGUCACUUAUAGAUGGAUCCGCGCUGCAUUAGCUAGUUGGUAAGGUAACGGCUUACCAAGGCAACGAUGCAUAGCCGACCUGAGAGGGUGAUCGGCCACACUGGAACUGAGACACGGUCCAGAAUCCUACGGGAGGCAGCAGUAGGGAAUCUUCCGCAAUGGGCGAAAGCCUGACGGAGCAACGCCGCGUGAGUGAUGAAGGUCUUCGGAUCGUAAAACUCUGUUAUUAGGGAAGAACAUAUGUGUAAGUAACUGUGCGCAUCUUGACGGUACCUAAUCAGAAAGCCACGGCUAACUACGUG
rnacentral:rRNA from 1 species